rnacentral:rRNA from 1 species
CAGCAGCCACGGUAAGACAGAGGAUGCAAGCGUUAUCCGGAAUGACUGGGCGUAAAGCGUCUGUAGGUGGCUUUUCAAGUCCGCCGUCAAAUCCCCGGGCUCAACCUGGGAAUGGCGCUUGUGACUGCAAAGCUAGAGUGCGGCAGAGGGGGAUGGAAUUCCGCGUGUAGCAGUGAAAUGCGUAGAUAUGCGGAGGAACACCGAUGGCGAAGGCAAUCCCCUGGGCCUGCACUGACGCUCAUGCACGAAAGCGUGGGGAGCAAACAGGAUUAGAUACCCCAGUAGUCCCUGUCUCUUAUAA